UACGAAGGGGGCUAGCGUUGCUCGGAAUUACUGGGCGUAAAGAGCUCGUAGGCGGUUCAGUAAGUCGGGUGUGAAAACUUUGGGCUUAACCCAAAGCGUGCAUCCGAUACUGCUGUGACUUGAGUUCGGUAGGGGAGUGGGGAAUUCCUAGUGUAGCGGUGAAAUGCGCAGAUAUUAGGAGGAACACCGGUGGCGAAGGCGCCACUCUGGGCCGAAACUGACGGCUGAGGAGCGAAAGCUGGGUAGCAAACAGG
rnacentral:rRNA from 1 species